CAGAGGCCACAACAUUAACAGAAGGCAGUGGCACUUCUGGAACUGGAUUCAGAGGUGCUGCCACAACACCAGCAGAAGGUAGUGGCACUCCUGGAACAGGAUCCAGACCAGGUGCCACUGCAGUGUCACAAGGCCAAGCAACUGGGAGUGUGACAGG